ACCCAGCACCUCCUGGGGACUGGAGGAGAAUUGUUAUUUGGAUGUAAUUAAAAAGGCAGCCCUCCACCCCAGACACCCUGCAUAUUUUUGGCACUGGUGGCUGUGGGAUGUACAUCAGACACUGGGUGCAGACAUCACUGGGCAUCUCUGGAAGAUCCCAAGGGUUGGGAAAAAGGAAAAGGGGUAGCAGGCAGUUCUUCCUUCCCAAGCAGCACCACCACGGUGAGCUGUGACCCACAGCAGAGCUGGAAAAAAUAUCCUUGGGUGACCCGCCACUCUCUGCAAUUGCUUAUGGCUGAAGUGGAUUAUGGUAUUCAGGUCAAGCCUACAAGGCCAACAGGAUGAUUGUCAUGAGCAGGACGUGUGUCAAACUGUCUUGGCUUACCCUGGAUUGCAAAAUUGUCACUUCCAUCCUUUCUCAAGCCUUUCCCUGGACCGCUGCACCAGAGGGGUCUAACACCAGCUUGGAUCCUGGAAUCGCAAUGCUUCUGAGAUCUUUACUCUUCUGCCUACUUUGUUUGACAUUCCCC